GAUGAACGCUGGCGGCGUGCUUAACACAUGCAAGUCGAACGGUGAAGGCGGAGCUUGCUCUGCUGGAUCAGUGGCGAACGGGUGAGUAACACGUGAGCAAUCUGCCCCUGACUCUGGGAUAAGCGCUGGAAACGGCGUCUAAUACUGGAUACGAGCUGCGAAGGCAUCUUCAGCAGCUGGAAAGAAUUUCGGUCAGGGAUGAGCUCGCGGCCUAUCAGCUUGUUGGUGAGGUAAUGGCUCACCAAGGCGUCGACGGGUAGCCGGCCUGAGAGGGUGACCGGCCACACUGGGACUGAGACACGGCCCAGACUCCUACGGGAGGCAGCAGUGGGGAAUAUUGCACAAUGGGCGAAAGCCUGAUGCAGCAACGCCGCGUGAGGGACGACGGCCUUCGGGUUGUAAACCUCUUUUAGCAGGGAAGAAGCGAAAGUGACGGUACCUGCAGAAAAAGCGCCGGCUAACUACG
rnacentral:rRNA from 1 species